rnacentral:rRNA from 1 species
UACGAGGGGGGCAAAUGUUGUUCGGAAUCACUGGGCGUAAAGGGCUCGUAGGCGGCCAACUAAGUCAGACGUGAAAUCCCUCGGCUUAACCGGGGAACUGCGUCUGAUACUGGAUGGCUAGAGGUUGGGAGAGGGAUGCGGAAUUCCAGGUGUAGCGGUGAAAUGCGUAGAUAUCUGGAGGAACACCGGUGGCGAAGGCGGCAUCCUGGACCAAUUCUGACGCUGAGGAGCGAAAGCCAGGGGAGCAAACGGG